rnacentral:rRNA from 1 species
GACGAACCGUGCAAACGUUGUUCGGAAUCACUGGGCUUAAAGGGCGCGUAGGCGGGCAAGCAAGUCGAAGGUGAAAUCCCACGGCUCAACCGUGGAAGUGCCCCCGAUACUGCUUGUCUUGAGGGAGAUAGGGGCGUGCGGAACUUCCGGUGGAGCGGUGAAAUGUGUUGAUAGUCAUCAGGAACUCCGGUGGCGAAAGCGGCACGCUGGACCUUUACUGACGCUGACGUGGCGCGAAAGCCAGGGGAGACCAAAGCG